rnacentral:rRNA from 1 species
GAACCUAGAAAACUGCAUAAAGAUUAGUCAGGUAAGUAGUAACCACUGAAGAUUGAGCAAUCAAUUCUUGUAGUGGCUUUACAGACAAUACCAAACAAAAAUACUAGAAAUAAGUGUC